rnacentral:rRNA from 1 species
CCUACGUGAGGCAGCAGUGGGGAAUAUUGCACAAUGGGGGGAACCCUGCUGCAGCAAUGCCGCGUGAAGGAUGAAGGUUUUCGGAUUGUAAACUUCUUUUGUACGGGACGAAGAAAGUGACGGUACCGUAAGACUAAGCCACGGCUAACUACGUGCCAGCCGCCGCGGUAAUCCGUCGGUGGCAAGCGUUAUCCGGAUUUACUGGGUGUAAAGGGCGAGUAGGCGGGAUUGCAAGUCAGAUGUGAAAACUAUGGGCUCAACCGAUAGAGUGCAUUUGAAACUGCAGUUCUUGAGUGAUGGGGAGGCAGGCGGAAUUCCUGGUGUAGCGGUGGAAUGCGUAGAUAUCGGGAGGAACACCAGUGGCGAAGGCGGCCUGCUGAACAUUAACUGACGCUGAGGCGCGAAAGCGUGGGGAGCAAACAGGAUUAGAUACCCCAGUAGUC